rnacentral:rRNA from 1 species
UACGUAGGGACCGAGCGUUGUCCGGAAUCAUUGGGCGUAAAGAGCGUGUAGGCGGCCACUUAAGUCCUGCGUGAAAUCUUGCGGCUCAACCGCAAGCGGUCGUGGGAAACUGGGUGGCUAGAGUGCGGGAGAGGAGAGUGGAAUUCCUGGUGUAGCGGUGGAAUGCGCAGAUAUCAGGAGGAACACCUAUUGCGAAGGCAGCUCGCUGGGACGUUACUGACGCUGAGACGCGAAAGCGUGGGGAGCAAACAGG